rnacentral:rRNA from 1 species
CCUACGGGAGGCAGCAGUAGGGAAUAUUGCUCAAUGGGGGAAACCCUGAAGCAGCAAAGCCGCGUGGAGGAUGAAGGUUUUCGGAUUGUACACUCCUUUUGUUAGAGAAGAUAAUGACGGUAUCUAACGAAUAAGCACCGGCUAACUCCGUGCCAGCAGCCGCGGUAAUACGGAGGGUGCAAGCGUUACUCGGAAUCACUGGGCGUAAAGAGCGAGUAGGCGGGAUAGCAAGUCAGAUGUGAAAUCCUAUGGCUUAACCAUAGAACUGCAUUUGAAACUGUUAUUCUAGAGUAUGGGAGAGGUAGGUGGAAGUCUUGGUGUAGGGGUAAAAUCCGUAGAGAUCAAGAGGAAUACUCAUUGCGAAGGCGACCUGCUAGAACAUAACUGACGCUGAUGCGCGAAAGCGUGGGUAGCAAACAGGAUUAGAUACCCGUGUAGUC